AGCGAACGCUGGCGGCAGGCUUAACACAUGCAAGUCGAACGCAUCCUCCGGGGUGAGUGGCAGACGGGGGAGUAACACGUGGGAACGUUCACUUCGACAUGGGAUAAUUUCGGGAAACUGGAGCUAAUACAGGAUAAGUCCUGUUGGGGCAAGGUUCGAUGUACGAGGUUCGGCCCGCGUUCUUUUAGCCAGUUGGGGGGGUAACGGCCGACCACGGCUUCGAUCAGUAGCUGGUCUGAGAGGAUGCUCCGCGACACUGGGGCGGGGACACGGCCGAGACUCUUACGGGAGGGGGCAGAGGGGGAUAUAGGACAAUGGGGGCAAGCCUGAACCAGCCAGGCCGGUUAAGUGAUGUAGGCCGUAGGGAUGUAAAGCUCGUUUGUCCGGGACGAUAAUGACGGUACCGAAAGAAUAAGCCCCGGCUAACUUCGUG
rnacentral:rRNA from 1 species